GUGUCAGCCGCCGCGGUAAUACAGAGGGUGCAAACGUUGUUCGGAAUUACUGGGCGUAAAGCGCGUGUAGGCGGCCUCGUGUGUCGGAUGUGAAAUCCCAUGGCUCAACCGUGGAAGGGCAUUCGAAACUACGAGGCUGGAGUGCUGGAGAGGAAGGUGGAAUGCUCGGUGUAGAGGUGAAAUUCGUAGAUAUCGAGCGGAACACCGGUGGCGAAGGCGGCCUUCUGGACAGCAACUGACGCUGAGACGCGAAAGCGUGGGGAGCAAACAGGAUUAGAAACCCGUGUAGUCC
rnacentral:rRNA from 1 species